AGAUUGAACGCUGGCGGCAUGCUUUACACAUGCAAGUCGAACGGUAACAGGCCGCAAGGUGCUGACGAGUGGCGAACGGGUGAGUAAUGUAUCGGAACGUGCCCAGUCGUGGGGGAUAACGCAGCGAAAGCUGCGCUAAUACCGCAUACGAUCUAUGGAUGAAAGCGGGGGACCGUAAGGCCUCGCGCGAUUGGAGCGGCCGAUAUCAGAUUAGGUAGUUGGUGGGGUAAAGGCUCACCAAGGCGACGAUCUGUAGCUGGUUUGAGAGGACGACCAGCCACACUGGGACUGAGACACGGCCCAGACUCCUACGGGAGGCAGCAGUGGGGAAUUUGGACAUGGGGGAAACCCUGAUCCAGCCAUCCCGCGUGUGCGAUGAAGGCCUUCGGGGUUGUAAAGCUA
rnacentral:rRNA from 1 species